GUUUCUAUAGUUGAAUAACAACAGUGGUUUUUCGUAUCACCAGUCAUGGUUGAAUUCCAUGUGGAAAUA
rnacentral:tRNA from 1 species